AUCAGUAAGCAGAUGUGGGAAUAGAAGCCUAACAGAAUUCUACCUAGACCACAUUGUUGUCCUCUUCACAAGCACAGAGAUGGAGGAAUGAUCUCUCUUUUCCAUUCCUCUGUGGGUGAGGAAAUAAAUGCCAUGGCAGAGGCUGCUAGAUGGUCAACAAAAGGCUGCCAAUUCCAGAUUUUCCCUGAUGUCCAAAGUCCAGAUGGUGG